CGGCGAGUGAAGCGGGAACAGCUCAAAUUUGAAAUCUGGCCCUUGGGUCCGAGUUGUAAUUUGCAGAGGAUGCUUUUGGUGCGGUGCCUUCCGAGUUCCCUGGAACGGGACGCCUUAGAGGGUGAGAGCCCCGUACGGUUGGACACCAAGCCUAUGUAAAGCUCCUUCGACGAGUCGAGUAGUUUGGGAAUGCUGCUCAAAAUGGGAGGUAUAUUUCUUCUAAAGCUAAAUAUUGGCCAGAGACCGAUAGCGCACAAGUAGAGUGAUCGAAAGAUGAAAAGCACUUUGAAAAGAGGGUUAAAUAGCACGUGAAAUUGUUGAAAGGGAAGGAUUUAUGACCAGACUUUUUCUAGGAGGAUCAUCCGGUGUUCUCACCGGUGCACUUCUCCUAGUUGAGGCCAGCAUCGGUUUCUGUCGAGGGAUAAAAGCUUUAGGAAUGUGGCUCCCUUCGGGGAGUGUUAUAGCCUGUUGCAUAAUACCUUGACGGGGACCGAGGUUCGCGCAUUGCAAGGAUGCUGGCGUAAUGGUUAUUAAUCACCCGUCUUGAAACACGGACCAAGGAGUCGAACAUUUGUG
rnacentral:rRNA from 1 species